GAACGGGUGAGUAACACGUGGGUGAUCUGCCCUGCACUUUGGGAUAAGCCUGGGAAACUGGGUCUAAUACCGAAUAUGACCAUGCGCCUCCUGGUGUGUGGUGGAAAGCUUUUGCGGUGUGGGAUGGGCCCGCGGCCUAUCAGCUUGUUGGUGGGGUAAUGGCCUACCAAGGCGACGACGGGUAGCCGGCCUGAGAGGGUGACCGGCCACACUGGGACUGAGAUACGGCCCAGACUCCUACGGGAGGCAGCAGUGGGGAAUAUUGCACAAUGGGCGCAAGCCUGAUGCAGCGACGCCGCGUGAGGGAUGACGGCCUUCGGGUUGUAAACCUCUUUCAGCACAGACGAAGCGCAAGUGACGGUAUGUGCAGAAGAAGGACCGGCCAACUACGUGCCAGCAGCCGCGGUAAUACGUAGGGUCCGAGCGUUGUCCGGAAUUACUGGGCGUAAAGAGCUCGUAGGUGGUUUGUCGCGUUGUUCGUGAAAACUCACAGCUUAACUGUGGGCGUGCGGGCGAUACGGGCAGACUUGAGUACUGCAGGGGAGACUGGAAUUCCUGGUGUAGCGGUGGAAUGCGCAGAUAUCAGGAGGAACACCGGUGGCGAAGGCGGGUCUCUGGGCAGUAACUGACGCUGAGGAGCGAAAGCGUGGGGAGCGAACAGGAUUAGAUACCCUGGUAGUCCACGCCGUAAACGGUGGGUACUAGGUGUGGGUUUCCUUCCUUGGGAUCCGUGCCGUAGCUAACGCAUUAAGUACCCCGCCUGGNGAGUACGGCCGCAAGGCUAAAACUCAAAGAAAUUGACGGGGGCCCGCACAAGCGGCGGAGCAUGUGGAUUAAUUCGAUGNCACGCGAAGAACCUUACCUGGGUUU
rnacentral:rRNA from 1 species